ACACGUAGUAGGAGGGAGUCUGGCUGGAUGAAGGUUAAAGCUUCAUCUGUCUCAAAACCAGAGUGGAAGUUGAACAGUGCCUUGCUCUGGGAAGCUCCGGGCAUUCCUAGAUGAUGGCUGCAUCUUGCAUGCUGCUGAAGUCUGACCUAAAGGAGACUGAAAGAUAAGAUGAGAAUGAAUGAAAGAAGCCCAACUGUAUUAGUCAUUUAUUGCUGCCUAUCAAAUUUACCCAAAACUUAGCAGCUUAAAACAAACAAGAUUUAUUACCUCACACACUAUCUGACGGUCAGGAAUCGAAGAGCAGUGUGGCUGGGUGGUCCCGGCUCCGUGUUUCUCACAAAGUUGCAGUCAGACGUCAGCUGAGGCUACAGUCAUCUUGAGGCUCUACUGGGACUCAUGGAUUCAAUGCCAAGUUUACUCGCAUGACUGUUGGCUAGAGGCCUCAGUUCUUUGCCAUGUGGCUCUCUUUACAGGGCUACCUGGUUUCUGCCUGAGCAGCAAGUGAUGAAGGAGAGUGAGCGUAUGAGAGAGUAAGAGAGUGAGCCCAAUCGUGGACUGACCACACAAUUGACCCUGGUUUACUGUGAGAAAGGACACAGACUGUGAACACCAGGAGGUGGGGAUCAUUGGAUGCCAUCUUGGAGGCUGGCUACCUCAACAAUCAUCUUAGAUUCCAUGAUUUCUAGACAAUGGAAGGAUGACAGGAUGUAUUUCCCAGAUUUCAGGAAUUCAGGCUUCUGACAGUUCCCAAGAAAUCAGAGGACAUGAGACUCCAAAAAGAAGAGAGAUGGCUCAAGAAGGUGGGAGAACUCCUGGUAGAAUUCCAAAUGUGUAAAUUGCCAGUGCUCUUGAAGAGAAAUAGUAAGGUGGGAACAGGUUGCUGAUGAGACCAGGGCAGCUCCUGGAGAAGCUCAACUUUGAGUAGAGCUGGCAAAAGGGAAAACAAGGAGCGAUAGGUGUAGCAGAGUCACAGAAGCCUAGUUUGCUAAUUAGGUCUAAUAAAUUAAGGCAGUGAAAUUGUAAGGAUAACAACAACCAAAAAAAGGUGUUUUUUUUUUUUUUUUUUGACAUGGGCAGAAAAUCAAGAAAGGAACUGCUCUGUGAUUGUGGUCAGUUUCUGUGGCGCCAGCUCUUCCUGACUGCCUGACAACCACGAUGUACCAGGCAAGGUGUGAAGUGCAGAGUACACAAAGGAAAGGUCACUGCCCUCAAAGGUCUCCCAAUCAAAUGGGAAUGCAAAUGCAAAAUGCCAUUCAGCAUAAUCAAUACCAUAAUGAGAUUCUGGCCAGGAAGGUCAGGGACACGAGGAAAGGCUCUGCAGUGCUACCUGGGGCAGGUGGGUCAGGGAUGACCUGGUCGAAGAGAUUACACUUGAACUGAGUCUCAAAGGAUCAGCAGGAAUUCGCCAAGUGAACCAAGGGAGAAAGGGCAGAGAAAAAGGAGACACCCAGCACAGAGGCAUGAAGUAGCCUGGCAGGCUGGGGAGCUGCUAGUGUUUUAUAUGAUUAGAGCAAGGUGGAGGUGCAGGCAGGGCUGGGGAGAACUGUGGAACCCACUUCGCAAGGCCUUGGGUGCCUAUACUGGGAGUGGACACGGCGGUGUUGGUCAAAAUGGGGUCUUACAUCAGAAUCUCCUGGGAGGUUCGUGAAAAUGCAGUUUCUUAAGCCUUAUCUUAUGUCCAUAUGGGCAGACUGCUCAGCAUAACUCUCUUUUCUUCCUGAGCUUGACUACAUUUCCCAGCGUCCUUUGGAGUGAGACUACAUCUCCCAGCAUCCUUGCAGUUAGACAAUUUUCUAGUCUCCUUUGCAGGGAUCUUGGAAGCCCCAUGUUGAAGGUGGCAGAGCAACAAAAAUUGAGGAAACCCUGAAUCCCUGAAUUACUAUUUGGAGAUGACCACCCACUAAUUCGGAACACUCAUUAUUGGGCUUUAGGAGAAUGAGAAAUUCUAUCAUGUUUGAGACUCCGUACAUCUUUGGAUUUGUUUUAACAGCUAGUUUUACCCUGACUAACAUGGCAAUUGACAGCCUCUGAGAGGAGAUUUGGAGAAUCUGCUUUUUUAACAAGUACCCCAGGGGAGUUUGAGAAUCACUGCUGAAAGCCAAGGGGAGCCAGCCACCCAAGGAUUUAACGCUGACCAAGGAACACCACGCUAUUUGCAUUUUAGAAUGACAGCAAGGGAGCAGACCUCUGCCCCCUUCUUCUCUGCCAAGGAGAACAAUCUACUGACUCAAAAGAAAAAGAAAACUUUGGUAAGAGAAAAUUGAAGCUCUAGAUGAGUGAAAAGAUUCUAACAGCACCAAGCUGCCGUAAAUGAGCUCAAGUCUCUUGGCCAGGACAAAUUACACUCCAGGGAGUAGAGAGAACUCGCCUCUGAAGCUGUAAAGCCUCUGCUGAUAAUCUUUACAGAACAUGGAGACUGUGAAAGAAAUUGGAACGCUAGAAAUGGCAAAAUAUAGCUCUGAUUAGUAAAGAGGGGGAAAGCUUCUGCAAACUACAAAAGUGGGGCUAUCCUAUCCAUCCUCAUUAAAUUCCCUGAUCAGACUACUUAAGGCUGAGUCGUGAGCACGUGAAAAAUGGAGCAGAAUCCUCUAGAAGCCUGUGUGGGUUCUUUAAGAGCGAGCCACGACAAGAUGAAAAAACAAGAGCCUAAAGAAGGGAGGCAACUUUUCCAAAGCCACACAUUAAACGUGUGGCAGUUAAGAGCCAGAACUGUGGUAUCCUGGCCCUCGGCCCCACACCUCUACUGCAAUAUCUGGGAUGUGGGCCCAUGGAUUGAUUUAUGGAUUUUGACUAACAUAUCUUCAAUUGAGCAAUCACUCGGAUGAUCGAUUGAACACUCCUUCACCAAACAAGGCUGGAGACCUGGGAUGGACGCCGGUGGUUUGAGAUAUGCAGAAGAAAUGGGUCCUGCCCUCCGGAACACUCCAGAGAAUAUCAUGGCACUUUAUAACAUCAAUGUCAAUCAGCAUUGAUUGACAAGCCCCCUGGACUUUGGAUGACUUCUCUGAAGCCCCAGCUGUGCCUGGCUGGGCCAUCUCCCUUCUCCACUUGGCCACAGCAUAAACUGCAGUCAAGCCACAAGAGUGACCUCAAGGCCUCAGGCCACUUUUCCAGCCUCAGCUUUUCUUAGGGGCCCAGCCCACUUACAACAGAAAUUUGCCAAAGACUGGGUUG